GCAGUCGUGCGAGAAGUCCCCUUUCGGGGGAUGGACAGCGGCGAAAGGGAGAGUAAUACGUAGAAAUCUGCCCCCUGGUCUGGGAUAGCGUCGGGAAACUGGCGGUAAUACCGGAUAAAGUCUUCGGACCAAAGGUGAGAUUCCGCCGGGGGAUGAGUCUACGACCUAUUAGCUAGUUGGCGGGGUAAUGGCCCACCAAGGCAAUGAUGGGUAGCGGGUGUGAGAGCAUGACCCGCCUCACUGGGACUGAGACACUGCCCAGACAUCUACGGAUGGCUGCAGUCGAGAAUCUUUGUCAAUGGACGAAAGUCUGAACAAGCGACGCCGCGUGCGGGAUGAAGGCCUUCGGGUUGUAAACCGCUGUCGUAAGGGAGCAAAUCCAAGGGGGUUCUCCCCCUUGGUUGAGUGAUCUUAGGAGGAAGGACGGGCUAAGUUCGUGCCAGCAGCCGCGGUAAGACGAACCGUCCGAACGUUAUUCGGUAUCACUGGGCUUAAAGAGUUCGUAGGCGGCCAUGUAGGUCAGGUGUGAAAUCCCACAGCUCAACUGUGGAACUGCGCUUGAAACCACAUGGCUUGAGGAAGAUAGAGGUGAGUGGAACAGAUGGUGGAGCGGUGAAAUGCGUUGAUAUCAUCUGGAACACCGGUGGCGAAAGCGGCUCACUGGAUCUUUUCUGACGCUGAGGAACGAAAGCUAGGGUAGCGAACGGGAUUAGAUACCCCGGUAGUCCUAGCCGUAAACGAUGAGCACUAGUCCGUGGGGACCCUCACAUCUUCUCGGACGUAGCGAAAGUGUUAAGUGCUCCGCCUGGGG
rnacentral:rRNA from 1 species